ACUGCAGAGACCAGAGAUCUUUCUGCUGUCUAUACUCUUGGGAAGCACAUCCUAAGAUCUUUGCAGAUUAUCCUGUGGAAGGAAAAUGCCUAAAGUCAAAAGAAGCCGGAAAGCACCCCCAGAUGGCUGGGAGUUGAUUGAGCCAACACUGGAUGAAUUAGAUCAAAAGAUGAGAGAAGCUGAAACAGAACCGCAUGAGGGAAAGAGGAAAGUGGAAUCCCUGUGGCCCAUCUUCAGGAUCCACCACCAGAAAACCCGCUACAUCUUCGACCUCUUUUACAAGCGGAAAGCCAUCAGCAGAGGUAAUUAGUCAGUCUCUCUUGGACUUUGAAGCUCGAGUC
rnacentral:sRNA from 1 species